rnacentral:misc_RNA from 1 species
UCAACCAUCAAGCCUGGCUUGUUGUUGGACUUUGCGGCUGAAACAUGUGGCAGGUCCGAAAAAUAAUGACGGUGUCGUGUUUGACCCUAGAUGCAACGAGCUUUUUAUAGCAUGCAUUGAAGUGGUCGACCGGGCUGGUCUCAACCCAUCAAUUUCUAA